AGCACAUGUGCUAAAUGCUAAAAUUGGAAAGACACAGAGAAGAUUAGCAUGGCCCCUGCACAAGGAUGACAUGCAAAUUCAUGAAACACUCCAUAUUUUU
rnacentral:snRNA from 1 species